GUUGGAGAGGUACUCACAAGUGAAGAAGCUGAAAAACGGGGACAGUUAUGUGACAACAAGGGAAUCACGUAUCUCUUUGAUCUGGACUAUCAAUCUGAUGAAUUCACAGUGGAUGCGGCUCCAUACGGCAAUGUAUCUCAUUUUGUGAAUCACAGCUGUGACUGAAUCUUCAGGUGUUCAAUGUUUACACUGAUAACCUCAAUACUUGUCUUCCCCGAAUAGCACUGUUUUCUACGAGAACCAUAAAUGCUGGAGAAGAGCUGACCUUUGAUUAUCAAAAUGAAAGAUUUUGGAGAUACAUCUUCAGAUUCUGUUGACCACAAUCCAGCCAAAAAGAGGGUCAGAACUGUAUGUAAAUGUGGAGCUGUGACUUGCAAAAAUUACUUCAACUGAAUUUUCAGGAAAUAGAGCUGAUGAUACCUACAAUUUUUUUUGCUAAUGUUAACAUUUAAAAAAAUACACAUUUGGGACUCUUAUUAUCAAGAUUGUACCUAUGUUAAUUUACAAUUCAUGUUUCAAGACAUUUGCCAAAUGUAUUACUGAUGCCUCUGAAGAGAGGGUCACUGGGUCUCAUAGACUUGUUUGAAAUCUACAUAUUUAGUGCUUAGAGACCAAACUAAUGGAAGGCAAACUAUUCACAGCUCAGUAUGUGUGUACCUACGUCUAUGUAAACAGAGAAAUGCCUCCCGCAGUGUUCGAAAGUGUUAAGCUGAUAAUGUAAUUAACAAUUACUGAGAGAUCAAACAUUCAACUUGUCAUACACCUCAAAUUUGGAGAAGUAGAGUUAAUUUGGGCAAAUCUACCAGUUCUGUUUUUGCUACUAUAUUGUCACUCCUGUUUAAGACUCACUGUACUUAUAUUUGAGACAAACGGGUGAUACUGAAUUUUAUGCUCUAUUUUCUACCUUUUCAUUAAAACAUUGGCAUCU